rnacentral:tRNA from 3 species
GCCCCUGUGGCGCAAUGGUAGCGCAUUCGAUUUGUAAUCGAAAGGUUAGGGGUUCGAGUCCCCUCUGGGGCU